rnacentral:lncRNA from 1 species
GGGGAAGCCAUAUUUAGGGUUUUUAAGCUUUCAAGCUCCAUAGUAAGUGAUUCUAAGCCCCGUUUUUAAUGUUCUUCGUAUUUUUGGAGUCCCGGUAACUUAGUUUAGCUUAUUCUACCAUUAAUUCGUGUUAGGGUUCAUAUUUGGAAAAAUAUCCAUAGGUGAAAUGUGUUUAUUUUGCUGUUCUAUGGUGGAAUAUGAAGCUAGAGAUUAUGUUAAACAACUUUUGCUAAGCAAUUUUAAGCGAAAACGGGUAAAUAGACAUAAUCGGUAAAAAUAAUUAAUAUUCAAAAGUAUGUGUUGGAGUGGGAAUUUGAUGUUUCCAUAGAAGGGAAAAAUGUUCAGCAUGUUAUAAAACUUAAGAAUAAGUGAUGAAGUUUAAUUUCCGAGCUUGGGGACAAAAGUGUAAUUAUGCAAAAGUUUGGGGGCAAAAUUGUAAUUUUCAAAAAGUUGGGUGGUGGAUUAUUUUAAUAAAUGUGAAUAUUAAACGAGUUAAAUUUGCUAUUAUAGAUCAAGAAAGACGUGAAGAGUAUAUCAAACGGGGAAAAGAAAAGAUAGGGGAGUAAAGUGCAAAAUUACGAUAUUUUGCACCGAGGUAAGUAAACACGUGACUUAAUGUAUUAUUUUGAUAUUAUUUGAUAUAUGUUGAGAUUUAUUUGGAAUUAAAAUAAAUGUUUGGCAAUAUCCUAAAAAUGUUGUUAAAUCGGGAAAGGUGAUAAAGGGUUGCAAUAUAUGGGUUAUGGGUUGAACACUCGGAAUAAGCCGUAGUAUGUUGUAUAUAAAAGGGGUUGCUGUGUGCUGAUUCCCCGAUUUAUGGGUGGUGCUAUGUGCGUGAUCCACCAUAUCUUUGAAAUGUGAAAGGGGGUUGCUAUGUGCUGAUUCCCCGAGGGGUUGCUAAGUGCUGAUUCCCCGAUUUCAUUGGUGGUGCUAAGUGCGAUAUCCACCAUAUCUUUGAAAUGAAAAGGGGGGUUGCUAUGUGCUGAUUCCCCCGAGGGGUUGCUAAGUGCUGAUUCCCCGAUUCAUUGGUGGUGCUAAGUGCGAUAUCCACCAUAUCUUUGAAAUAAAAAGGGGGUUGCUAUGUGCUGAUUCCCCCGAGGGGUUGCUAAGUGCUGAUUCCCCGAUUCAGUGGUGGUGCUAAGUGCGGGAUCCACCAAUAACGGCUAACAUUCCGAGUGUUCAACGAAAAAGUGUGGAAGAUGAAUAUUGGCAUAUGGUGGAAAAUUUUAUGGGGUAAAUAUUGAGUUGAAUACUAAAUCGACCCAUGUAUGAGAUGGGAGAAAAUAUCAAAAACGCAAAAGGAACGAUUUAAUUAUAAACUGUGUUGAACAACAGCAAUUGGGUAACUUUGAAAAAAAUCACCAUAAAUGGUGGAAAUGAAAGGGAAGCUGAAUAAUAUAUGAAAUUGAAGUUGAAUGUAUCUAUUCUCAUAUGAAAGAAAUAGAAUAAGCAAAGGAGUUGUAUUUUUGGAGAUAUCUGAAUUUUACUGAAACAGGGCUGGAUUGAUUUCGAGAUCCCCUGUUCUAACUUUGGAAAAUUACCAAAAAUUUUAAAAAAAUAAUUAUGGCAUGAAAUUUAUAUCCCUGGAAUCCUUAUUGAGUCUAUUUUUAUUAGAAACAAGAAAAACCAUUUUUCAAAUUUUGUACAGAGAGUUAAGUAAAUUUUAGUGAGGAAGGGUCAGAACCGUUGGGCAGUGAAACAGGGGAAGGUUUAAUGAAUAAACUGUACUAAUUGGCUGGGUUAAAAAUUCUGAAAUUUUUAUGGUGAAAUGGUAUAUGAGUCUAGUUUCAGGGAAAAUUUACGGAACUCAAUUUGGAGCCCUGUAGCUCCAGAUAAAAAUAAAUUAGCGACUAUGACGCAGAAAAACAGCUUGCUGGAAAUUGCCUAAACAAUAAAGUUAUUCAUGAAUAAAUUUAUAUUUUGGUGUAGUUAUGGGAGUAAUUACUUAUUUAUCAUGUGUUUACUUACUAAGCUAUAUGCUUACUCGAUUUUAUUUUUCUCUUGGUUAUAGUGACUUCCAACAACUCGGAAAUUGGAACGAAGUCAGACAAUCAUCUACACUAUCCUUCACAUUUGGGGUAUUUUACUAGUAGUGUUCCGAAAUUUUAUGGCAUGUAUAGACACUUUAUGUAAUGUGGGA